rnacentral:rRNA from 1 species
AUUGAACGCUGGCGGCAUGCUUUACACAUGCAAGUCGAACGGCAGCGCGGGCUUCGGCCUGGCGGCGAGUGGCGAACGGGUGAGUAAUAUAUCGGAACGUACCCAAGAGUGGGGGAUAACGUAGCGAAAGUUACGCUAAUACCGCAUACGAUCUAAGGAUGAAAGCAGGGGAUCGCAAGACCUUGUGCUCCUGGAGCGGCCGAUAUCUGAUUAGCUAGUUGGUGGGGUAAAGGCCCACCAAGGCAACGAUCAGUAGCUGGUCUGAGAGGACGACCAGCCGCACUGGAACUGAGACACGGUCCAGACUCCUACGGGAGGCAGCAGUGGGGAAUUUUGGACAAUGGGGGCAACCCUGAUCCAGCAAUGCCGCGUGAGUGAAGAAGGCCUUCGGGUUGUAAAGCUCUUUCGUCAGGGAAGAAAAGGUCGUGGCUAAUAUCCACGACUGCUGACGGUACCUGAAGAAUAAGCACCGGCUAACUACGUGCCAGCCGCCGCCGUAAAAC